GACGAACGCUGGCGGCGCGCCUGACACAUGCAAGUCGAACGGAGUUUCCCCUUCGGGGGAGCUUAGUGGCGGACGGGUGGAGUAACACGUGAGGAACCUGCCUUUGAGAGCGGGAGUACCGUCUGGAAACGGACGUUAAUACCGCAUAAUGCAGCGAGGCCACAUGGCCAUGCUGCCAAAGAUUUAUCGCUCAAAGAUGGCCUCGCGCCUGAUUAGAUAGUUGGCGGGGUAACGGCCCACCAAGUCUGCGAUCAGUAGCCGGACUGAGAGGUCGAACGGCCACAUUGGGACUGAGAUACGGCCCAGACUCCUACGGGAGGCAGCAGUGGGGGAUAUUGCACAAUGGGCGAAAGCCUGAUGCAGCGACGCCGCGUGAGGGAAGACGGUUUUCGGAUUGUAAACCUCUGUCUUCGGGGACGAAACAAGACGGUACCCGAGGAGGAAGCCACGGCUAACUACGUGCCAGCAGCCGCGGUAAUGUCUGUACU
rnacentral:rRNA from 1 species